AUGGAGUUGAAAGAAGACGGUGUUAACGACAGAGAUGAAUUACGACCGGAGAAGUUACAGGUGACGAUGGUGGAAUGAUGAGAGGUAAGUUGCAAGCUGUUGUUCGGUGUUGGGAGUCGAAAGGUGUUCGGUGGAUGACGGUGGACGACGGAGAAGAAGACCGGAGACGAUGAUGAAGGGGAUUAGUAAUGAGAUGGUGGCUGUACGGUGAAGAUUCUGUUGAUCUCGAAUGACAAUGUUUGGUGAUGACGGAUGAUGCGGAUGAUCACGGAUAGAACAAUGUUGAUUUCGGAUGAAAGAGAUGAAUGUUUCCGGAUGAGUUGAAUGCCGAUUACGGAUGAAAGAAGUGGUGAAUACGAUCCGAGAUGACGAUUCCGGAUGAUGUCGGAUUGUGAAGUUAAAGAUUACGGAUGAAGAAGCUAUGGAGUCGGAUUGAAUUUCAGAUGGAACGAUGAUUACGGACGAUGAUUACGGACUGAAAAGUUAUAUCGGAUGGUAUGCUGAUGAUGAUCUGAUGAUGACGACAGUGAUGUUUGACCAUGAAGUUUGAAGAUGAUGAUUGACCAAUGAUUGUUACGUAUGAGAGUGAUGAUGUACGAUGAUUACAGAAAUGAUGAUGUUUGAUUAUUAUGAAAAAGAUGAUGAUGAAAAGAUGU
rnacentral:lncRNA from 1 species